CCUACGGGUGGCAGCAGUGAGGAAUAUUGGUCAAUGGGCGAGAGCCUGAACCAGCCAAGCCGCGUGAGGGAGUACUGCCCUAUGGGUUGUAAACCUCUUUUGUCGGGGAGCAAAAGCCGGACGUGUCCGGCUGUGAGAGUACCCGAAGAAAAAGCAUCGGCUAACUCCGUGCCAGCAGCCGCGGUAAUACGGAGGAUGCGAGCGUUAUCCGGAUUUAUUGGGUUUAAAGGGUGCGCAGGCGGAUAUUUAAGUCAGCGGUAAAAUCGUGGGGCUCAACCCCAUCCAGCCGUUGAAACUGGGGAUCUAGAGUGUGCGAGAGGUAUGCGGAAUGCGUGGUGUAGCGGUGAAAUGCAUAGAUAUCACGCAGAACCCCGAUUGCGAAGGCAGCAUACCGGUGCACAACUGACGCUGAGGCACGAAAGCGUGGGUAUCGAACAGGAUUAGAUACCCGAGUAGUC
rnacentral:rRNA from 1 species